rnacentral:rRNA from 1 species
UCCUACGGGCGCGCAGUGGGGGAUAUUGCACAAUGGGGGGAACCCUGAUGCAGCGACGCCGCGUGGGUGAAGAAGUAUUUCGGUAUGUAAAGCCCUAUCGGCAGGGAAGAAAUUGGACGGUACCUGACUAAGAAGCCCCGGCUAACUACGUGCCAGCAGCCGCGGUAAUACGUAGGGGGCAAGCGUUAUCCGGAUUUACUGGGUGUAAAGGGAGCGUAGACGGCAGUGCAAGUCCGGAGUGAAAGCCCGGGGCUCAACCCUGGGACCUCUCUGGAAACUGUAAAGCUGGAGUGCGGGAGGGGCAG